AACUCGGACAUGCAGAGAAACCCAGGACAACAUCUGAGACUAACACUCUACUCUUAAAACUCUAACACUUAGAAUUUUACUGACUUUCUAACCAACACCACCUUUCACCAUAACUCAUGCACCUACAGACAUCCAAACAAGUUCCUGAGACUACCAAUCGGAUGAAAUAUCUACUCAACUGGUAAUUAUACUGGUUUCAUUUAAUUAAUUAAAUUAAUUAAAAUUUAC